GCAGGAAGUGGAGCAGAGUCGUGGCCGUUAUUGAGGCCUGUUAGGGGGCCCGGACCUGUCGGCCGAAGUUUGGUUGGAGUCCGACCUCCAUAGAAGCCCGGAUGGGGAUCAUUUAUCAAGGAGUCUCGGCCAAGGCCUGUCUGCAACAAAAAUUUGAAAGGAAUUCAUCCAUAAUGGAAGCUUGAGUGAAGGCUUACGGUGGGAAUCCAACACGGACC
rnacentral:lncRNA from 1 species